GGAGAGGUGGCCGAGUUGGCCGAAGGCGCUCGCCUGCUAAGCGGGUAACGGGGCUUAAACCCUGUUCGAGGGUUCAAAUCCCUCCCUCUCCGCCA
rnacentral:tRNA from 5 species